rnacentral:rRNA from 1 species
UACGUAGGGGGCGAGCGUUGUCCGGAUUUAUUGGGCGUAAAGAGCUCGUAGGCGGUUUGUCGCGUCGGCCGUGAAAUCUCCACGCUUAACGGGGAGCGGGCGGUCGAUACGGGCAGACUUGAGUUCGGUAGGGGAGACUGGAAUUCCUGGUGUAGCGGUGAAAUGCGCAGAGAUCAGGAAGAACACCCGUGGCUAAGGCGGCUCUCUAGUACGGUACUGACGCUGAGACGCGAAAGCGUGGGGAGCGAACAGG